UGGGGAAUAUUGCACAAUGGGCGCAAGCCUGAUGCAGCCAUGCCGCGUGUGUGAAGAAGGCCUUCGGGUUGUAAAGCACUUUCAGCGAGGAGGAAGGUGGUGAGCUUAAUACGCUCAUCAAUUGACGUUACUCGCAGAAGAAGCACCGGCUAACUCCGUGCCAGCAGCCGCGGUAAUACGGAGGGUGCAAGCGUUAAUCGGAAUUACUGGGCGUAAAGCGCACGCAGGCGGUUUGUUAAGUCAGAUGUGAAAUCCCCGGGCUCAACCUGGGAACUGCAUUUGAAACUGGCAAGCUAGAGUCUCGUAGAGGGGGGUAGAAUUCCAGGUGUAGCGGUGAAAUGCGUAGAGAUCUGGAGGAAUACCGGUGGCGAAGGCGGCCCCCUGGACGAAGACUGACGCUCAGGUGCGAAAGCGUGGGGCAGCAAACAGGAUUAGAUACCCUGGUAGUCCACGCUGUAAACGAUGUCGAUUUGGAGGUUGUGCCCUUGAGGCGUGGCUUCCGGAGCUAACGCGUUAAAUCGACCGCCUGGGGAGUACGGCCGCAAGGUUAAAACUCAAAUAAAUUG
rnacentral:rRNA from 1 species